GACGAACGCUGGCGGCGUGCCUAAUACAUGCAAGUAGAACGCUGAAGAGAGGAGCUUGCUCUUCUUGGAUGAGUUGCGAACGGGUGAGUAACGCGUAGGUAACCUGCCUGGUAGCGGGGGAUAACUAUUGGAAACGAUAGCUAAUACCGCAUAAAAUGGAUUAUCGCAUGAUAAUCCAUUGAAAGGUGCAAAUGCAUCACUACCAGAUGGACCUGCGUUGUAUUAGCUAGUUGGUGGGGUAACGGCUCACCAAGGCGACGAUACAUAGCCGACCUGAGAGGGUGAUCGGCCACACUGGGACUGAGACACGGCCCAGACUCCUACGGGAGGCAGCAGUAGGGAAUCUUCGGCAAUGGACGGAAGUCUGACCGAGCAACGCCGCGUGAGUGAAGAAGGUUUUCGGAUCGGAAAGCUCUGUUGUAAGAGAAGAACGAGUGUGAGAGUGGAAAGUUCACACUGUGACGGUAUCUUACCAGAAAGGGACGGCUAACUACGUG
rnacentral:rRNA from 1 species